UUGCCACAUGUACCCAAUCCAAUAAAGCCAUGAUUCCUCUUUCUUGAUAUUUCUUUCUCUUUUCUUCUAUUAAUCUUUCUCUUUUCUUCUGUUAUUUUUCUCCAUUGAUGAAACAAGCUUCAUCAUAAUAUGGUAUCAUUCGCCAAUUCGAUCCUCCUUCCGCUACUAUCCAACUGAAUCCUUUUACACCAUUUCAUUUCUUCAUUCACUUCCUUCUGCAUCCAUGGCCCCUUCUCGAGCUUCAUCUUCAUCAACUGAUCCUGCUUUGGAU
rnacentral:lncRNA from 1 species